AGGUCCCCCCCUAUUAGUAUUUAGGGCCCCCACCCACCGCUCAGGGGUGGGGGCCGGGGGGGACCUUAAGUCCCCCCACCUUUUUACUGUAGGGCCCCCACCCACUGCUCAGGGGUGGGGGCCAGGGGGAAGGACAUU